UUGAAUUGAAGAGUUUGAUCAUGGCUCAGAUUGAACGCUGGCGGCAGGCUUAACACAUGCAAGUCGAACGGUAGCAGGAAGAAAGCUUGCUUUCUUUGCUGACGAGUGGCGGACGGGUGAGUAAUGCUUGGGAAUCUGGCUUAUGGAGG
rnacentral:rRNA from 1 species